rnacentral:rRNA from 1 species
UCUGGUGACUAUAGCAAGGAGGUCACACCUGUUCCCAUGCCGAACACAGAAGUUAAGCUCCUUAGCGUCGAUGGUAGUCGAACUUACGUUCC